rnacentral:rRNA from 1 species
GACGAACCGUGCGAACGUUGUUCGGAAUCACUGGGCUUAAAGGGCGCGUAGGCGGCUUGUCAAGUCAGGGGUGAAAUCGUUUCGGCUCCAACCGGAAAAGUGCCUUUGAUAACUGACAGGCUCGAGGGAAGUAGGGGCAUGUGGAACUUCUGGUGGAGCGGUGAAAUGCGUUGAUAUCAGAAGGAACGCCGGUGGCGAAAGCGACGUGCUGGACUUCUUCUGACGCUGAGGCGCGAAAGCUAGGGGAGCAAACAGG